rfam:Ailuropoda melanoleuca scaffold101_26, whole genome shotgun sequence.
GCCUGGCUGGCUCAGCUGGUGGAGCAUGGGACUCUUGAUCUCAGGGUUGCGAGUUCAAGUCUCACACUGGGUG